rnacentral:rRNA from 5 species
CAAAAUGACUCUCGGCAACGGAUAUCCCGGCUCUCGCAUCGAUGAAGAACGUAGCGAAAUGCGAUACUUGGUGUGAAUUGCAGAAUCCCGUGAACCAUCGAGUCUUUGAACGCAAGUUGCGCCCGAAGCCAUUAGGCCUAGGGCACGUCUGCCUGGGUGUCACG